GAACGCAUUGUGGUUGAAAUGAUAUGAAGAACUUGUUCAGAUUUGAUUUUCAACAUUGCAAUGAGUGGCGAACGGGUGAGUAACACGUGGGAAACCUACCUCUUAGCAGGGGAUAACAUUUGGAAACAAAUGCUAAUACCGUAUAAUAAUUAAAACCGCAUGGUUUUAGUUUAAAAGAUGGUCUUGCUAUCACUAAGAGAUGGUCCCGCGGUGUAUUAGUUAGUUGGUGAGGUAAUGGCUCACCAAGACAAUGAUACAUAGCCGAGUUGAGAGACUGACCGGCCACAAUGGGACUGAGACACGGCCCAUACUCCUACGGGAGGCAGCAGUAGGGAAUCUUCCACAAUGGACGAAAGUCUGAUGGAGCAACGCCGCGUGUGUGAUGAAGGGUUUCGGCUCGUAAAACACUGUUGUAAGAGAAGAAUGACAUUGAGAGUAACUGUUCAAUGUGUGACGGUAUCUUACCAGAAAGGAACGGCUAAAUACGUGCCAGCAGCCGCGGUAAUACGUAUGUUCCAAGCGUUAUCCGGAUUUAUUGGGCGUAAAGCGAGCGCAGACGGUUAUUUAAGUCUGAAGUGAAAGCCCUC
rnacentral:rRNA from 1 species